UGCAAAAGGUGAGUAUUAUUUGUUUUCUUUUUUGCACAUUUAAUGUAUUUAUCCUUAUCAUAUAGUUGUAUAUCUUUUUUUUACUUACAUUUGCCAAUACCUAUUCAUUUCAUGAACUUUACAAAUUUUUCAAAACAGUUGCGUAACGAAAGGCCAUUACAGUUACGUUACAUCCAUUACAAGCCUAUUUCCACUACCUAUGGCUACAAUUGUGAUUUAAAUCCACAUUGCAUAUAUCUACCUAGAAGCUAAGUAUCUUCUUUUCAUUUUAUUUUUCCCACUAGUUUAAUUCAUUGAUUAAAAGAAACAGCAUUUCCAAGUGUAUUCCCAUAGUUUAAGAAAUGCAUAGGCAAUGAAUUCUCAGUUCAAACUGAACAAUCUAGAAUAGUCAAUUCCAUUAUUUUUUAGAAUGGAUGCAAUUUUGAUUUGGUUUAGCAUUCGAAUCCUAAGAUCCCAAGCCCAAACUAUGUACACUCCUUG
rnacentral:misc_RNA from 1 species